rnacentral:lncRNA from 10 species
AGAACUGGCACUGUUUAUACAGAAAGGGAGAUCCAUCAGUAGCAUGACUCUUUAAUCAUUGUUAUUUACAAUUUAUCAUCUGACAGACUUACAGAGAAUAAAUAAAGAAAAGAAAAUAUACAAUUGGUAUCACGUUUCUUUUUCUAAUACAGAGAAAUUUUACAUAUUCUAUUUGGAACGUCUAUGAUAGUUUUAAGCAGAAAUUAAAUCCAUUUGCCCUUUACCCCUUGACAAGACACAUCAUCUUCCAAAGCCUGCAGAAGGGGGCCCAGAUGUUUCCUCAUCACAGGAAGAGUGCACCACAUCGCUGCAGAAACUCAGUCCUCAGAAAAAGUUACCAGGCAACAAGGUAGAAGAAUAGGAUAUCAUGAAUAAUAAAGGACAUAUAAUGGAUAGGCUAGAUUACAGACUCUUGGUGUGUUUGCAGGAAGCCAGCUUUCAAUUGUGUCCAAGCCUGUUUUCAAGAAAACAGUUUUUCACUGAAAGUGAUUACCUUAUCCCAUUGUGCUUCCCUUGAGUCUCUGCAAAUUCUUCCUUGACAUGUUCAUUGUGAUUGUGGAUGAGCACAGGCUAGCUUGGGACUCAGAUUAUUUUCCUGCAAGGCACCUGACACUGUUGCAUGUUGUUGACAAGGUGUCUGCAGGAGAAACUAGAUAGCUUGUUUCAAAUAGGCUGGGUAUGAGGCCAGAGUCUGGUCUCUCCUUUUGAUUCGGUGUCCUGUGGAGAACUACCUUUCAUUGCUGUCUAAAUGCCUCAAAAAAUUAAGCAGUUCUAUAGAUCAAUUUCUCCAUCAAAAAGUAUACAAACAGAGAAUGCACUUCACCAGGAACAAGUCUGAGUAAUUUUUUUCUCUUUCCUCACUUGAAAAUAAACUCUCCAUGUUACAAGCAAAACAAUUCUCCCUACAUUCACUCUAGUUAACUGGAUGAGAAGUUUUUGUUUCUAUCUUAUGUUCAUUCAAAAAAACAACAUUCAGCAAAUAUUUAUCAAGUGCUCACAAUGACCUAGAAACUUAGUAAGACACACAUUGUUAUAAUCUUGACCCCUUAAAUAGGGGACUUAAAAAUGUCAAUCAUAAAACUCAAAACUGUAAUCCACAAAACUGGAGUUUCAACUUCUCCCCAGGUUGCCGCUGUGUUUGCAAUUAAUUUGGUCUAAUGUGGUUGUUAUUCCAUUUAAUAACGGCUAUUUAGGCAAAUAAAACCUCUCUACCACUCUGAAAAUAGUAUUUUAUCAAACAUUAGGAGUCUAUACCAUUGUAUUCUAUUCUCUCCACAAGCUAUUUCCAGUGCCAUUAACUAAGUGCCAACUAACUCUUGACUGAAAUACUGGUUUACUCUAAACUCCUUAUUUUGUCCCCAGUGCUAAUCCUACUCACGUAGAAGCAGCAGGAAGCAUCUAGAAUAUCCUGCUACCUGGUUUUCUAGACAACAAGCUAUGAACAGGUCUUACUGUGUUUUGUGUUGCCUAAUCUUUCUAAGUUUGUCUUGGAUUGUUUCAGAUGCCAAACAGCCAAACAAAUCAGAAAAUUUAGAAGCAGUGUAGGCAGGGUAUUGCUCAUGACAAAGGAACACAUUAAUGUGUUAAUAGUCUCUCUAAAACUGUAGAACUUUAUCCAGAUAGUAUCUUUCCUGUUGUAUCCAAGCAAGGCCAGUUUACAAAUCAGCAAGAAUUAAAAGUAUCCAGCAACUAAAUGAAUCUGUGUCUGUAAUACAAAGUUCUCAGUGCCAGAAGUUGAAGCCUUCCUCAUCCCAGAAAAGGACACAGAUAUGUAUUACAUGAUAAUACAUAUUGGGCAGCCAUCUGAAACAUAUUACUUCUGUGACUCAAGGCCAGGAAAAUUCAGACAUUGUAAGUUCAUUUUAAAUAUGAUUUUUUUUAAAAAAAAUAUGGAAUCAUAGAAUAACCCAGUGAACUGGUGCAGAAUCAUAAAAAAGAAUAAGUGGAGAGAUUUUAGGCAAAGGAAGAUAUAAUAAUAUUAUUUUCUCUUGCUCUAUAAGAAGUCAUGGUGUGAUCUGGAUGUAGCCCUACCAGAGACAUGUGGAUAAAGAAGAAUAGGCUGCAGGUCCUGAGUUCAAGUCCCUUUAAUUCUAAUGAAGCUAAUACAUAUCUUGAAAGUGGAGUGUGGCAGGUCCCAAGGUAUCUAGUCCUGCACAUAUCAAAUAUGCUAAUGUAUUUGGAAACACCUGGUAAACCUAAGGCACAAUACAAAUGGCAUGUGUUACUAUUACUACCAUUACAGUGAUUUCUUCCAUGAUCUCUUUUGCUGACUACAAUUUUCAGAGCAAGAAAUGACCAGAUUACUAAACCCAUCAGUUAUAGAUCCAAUUUUCCAGUGAGUACUGGACAUAUCAGAACAAGAAAGGACCUCAAAACCAUUUAAUCUAAUUUCCUCAUCCUAUAAAUAAGAAAACAAAAUGCAGAAAGACCAAGUGAUUUAGCCAAGAUGACACACUUAGUGUGAAGCAGAAAGAGGAUUAAAGCUCCCAAACCAAUGCUCUCUUGACUCUCAAACCAAUGAUUUCUCCACAGUUAGUCCUGGGAUAGACUAAAGCCCAAAGGCAUAGGACAACUAUGGGGAAAGGACAUUUGCUAGGAUCAGAAGAUGACCUGCAAAAUGGAGCCUGUGGACUUGGGAUCUAUGCUUAUGCUGUGGCGUGGAGCAAUGCUGAAAGCUGAAUGGGGAAAUACACAUGUUCCUGAGAAACUGUUGUAGAAGGUAAACUGGUGAGGGCAACAGAGGCAGACCCAAGGGGUCAAGGCUAAUCCUUCUCAGCUUGGGAAACUGAUUUGUAAUGUUUUCUUGUUUCUCCUCAAUUGGAAUUAAGAGUUCCUUUUUCCAGCUUCCCACUAAAUCUGAGGAUUUGUGGAGUGUGAAAACUCAGAAUCUGCUCUGAGCAGAUUCCUUCUUGACAGUGGCUCUGUUUCCAUGAAUUCUGAAGCCACAGCCCUGAGCUUUCUUUUCUGCUGGUCACGCCAUCUCAGAGGCAAGAGUGUGUAUACUCAGCAGUAGCAACAGAUGUUCAUCCUGUGCCUCUCCAGAAUCAAGGACUCUCGGAGUUAGAAGGACAUUAAACAUUGUCUCAUACCACCAUCCACUUUGUGUUUGAAAACCUCCAUUUUCCUUGCAUUGUUCUUGAGCCUCUAUCUUAACCUCUCCAGUGACAAGAGACUCCUCACCUCUGGUGGCAGCCCAUUUAUCCUUGUAUGUUCUGAGUGCUUCGUUUUCCCCAAUAAGGAAUGGAAAUCAGUCUCCCUGUAACUUCUCCACAUCAGUUCCUAGGACAACUUUUUUGGGGACACUCAGAACAGAUCUAUUCCCUCUUAGACAAGGCCAUUAGGUAUUUAUGCCUGAGAAAUUCAGCCCCAAGCCCAAAGAUCCCACAGAGGCUUCAUCCUUGAAAAUGCUAGAAGAUUUGGACAAGAUGAACUCAAGAGUCUACCAUCAAAACAUCAAGAUAUCAAAACAUCAGACUUUACUGAUUAAAAACUCAGAUUCUCACUAAAACACACACAUGAAAAUAUCUGAACAAGACAAAGAAGAGAACCCUCUUACAAAAUCACAAAUAAAUGGUGGAUAGCAUGUCUGUUAUGUGUCCUCCAUUGACCUCCUUUCCUAUGUCCAUUAUCUAUUCAUGAAUCCUUCCAUCCAUGAGGUACUUUUUUUUUGUAAAUGACAAUCCCCCUUCAUACACUCUUGCAGCAGACAUUCUUUCCUAUCUACAUCCCCAGUUGUUUCAUAUAUGAACUUCAAUCCUGACCCCUGCCCAUGAAUGAACAGAACACCCAUUUCAAGAAAUUGGGGGUUUUCAAGAAUAUAUCAUUCACUUUGACAGGAGAGAGAAAUACAAACAGUGAGACAUGUCCAGAGGCCAAAUUAGAAAACCACCUGUGAUUAGUUGCUGAAUUCUGAGUCCUCAGAUUCUCCACAUCUAUCAAGUGUUUUCCCUAAACUUAAUCUCAUGUUUCCCAAGACAUUAGUAUUCUUCAAGUUUUUCUUUCUGAAGAUUCUUUUAGAAUGACAUGGAAAAAUAUUGUAGAAUCUGCACAUUUAUAAGCACAAGUAUAGUUAACCUUUAUAAAUUAUCUGAAUUUUCUAGCCUUUGUUAUCCAACACUUUGGUAUAUCAAAGAUUUUCUUUUACUAGAUUGUAUCUGCCCUAGGCUUUUUUUUUUCCUUUUUUAGUUCUUUAAUGUAAAAAAAAAAAAAAGUGUAUAUGAGUCAGGGGUAGGGAGUGGGGGUGACCA